CGUUUUCUUAUCUUCUGCCUCAGCACUUGAAGUUAAGUUAGUGAAAUGUUACUUUCGAGCACCUGGCAUAGAAAUGAGUUGAGUAAAGACACUAACCCCUUGGCUUUUGCCGAACUAUACCUUCUUUCUUAUCCUACUUAUGCUUCCUUGUCAGUACCAAUAAGAAGUUUUUUGACGCUGUCAGUACCUGUAAGCAGUUUUUGUAGUUCCUAUAGAAUAAGGGAAAACUUAGAUUAUUCCAUUUCUUCCCAACACCGAAUGCCAGUACUAUCUUCUUACCUUGAGUUGAAACUAUGUUACGG
rnacentral:lncRNA from 1 species